rnacentral:tRNA from 1 species
UUUGAUUUAGCAUAACUUAAUGCGAAGAGUUUAAGCCUCUUAGAUUUUAAUUAAA